UCUUUUUUCCUCUCCUCCGAAAAACACCGUCGGUGCUCCAUCACCACCGCUGCUCUUCUCUCGGUCCCUCUUCUUCAUCUCCAUUUCUUAAUUGUAUGGACCCAUAUUAGAUCUCAUCUGCAAUUUUUGGUGAAAAUUAUCACAACCUCAGUCACAAAAACUCAUCAAUCGAAUACCUCAGAUCCACCUUCUACAAACCCUAAAUCAAACGAAACCCAACUUCAAUUUGUAAUGUGCUACCGAUUUCUUCUUUCACUGAUUUAAUCUCAGAACCCGUUUCAAUUCUUCAUUCAACAUCUAACCUAGCCAUAAGAAUCAUACCUCUCCAUCUCUGAACAUCGAACCAACAACAUAAAAUUCAUUAUCUCCUCCAUCUGUGAUCAAAGUUGCUACUGCUAGAAAUCAAGAUGGUACAGUUAGGGUUUGAACUGAGGUCGAUUAUUGAUUAGUGUUCAUCUUUGAAUGAGGAGUUUACAGAUUCUUCAAGUUGCAAUUUUCUGCGACCUCCAAUUACCAGUGAACUAGAAGAAACCACUCUCACAGAAGAAGCUUAACGUUCUCUCUAAUAUCACAACUCUCUUCGUCAUACACCACCAAGUAUUUUGGUUGUGAGCUUGGAGCACAGUCCAAAUUUGAUGAAAAAAAUGGAGUUGCUCUUGUGAAUGGUGCCCAUGACACUUCCAAGCUUGCUGGUUUGCUUGAGACCUUCAUUUAGAAGUUUGUCCAGUGCUAUCGAUGUGGGAACCCUGAAACUGAUGUUAUCAUCACCAAAACUCAGAUGUUGACAUGAGGGACAAGCUCACUACUUUCAUUAUCAAGAAUCCGCCUGAGCAUAAGAAAUGUUGGGAAGAGUACAUUUUCGGACCAGAUUGUUGGUCAAAACCUCUCAAUUGUAACAGAUAUACCUCCAACUACUAGACAUUGGAUACUUGGUAUAGUUUUUAGCGAAGAAUAUCAGGAUAUGGUGACUCACUGGUGUUAUUGGUAAGAAAAUGCUUGAGGGAAAAAUGUUCGCAGCUCUGCUGUUCGCACCAGUUGAUUGAUGAGGUUUUGGAGGAAGCUAACCUUAAAUACAAAGUGAAAUGUUUGGUUAGGCAUGAAGAGGUUGCAAAGAGACUAGAGGAAAAGCUACAAGAUUGUCGUAUUUUGAAUGAAUCAUCGACAAUCAUUUUCGUCAAAGAGAUGAAUGCAGGAAAUUGAGUUGUUGGUCUUUAUUCAUGUCUGUUUUCUUCGUCGGCCCCCCACUGGUGCAACAGUCAUCUAAUAUAAGAAGACCUUACAUAUUUAUAAUUAAAGAUGGACAAACCUGAGCUGCCAAUAUCGAUUUUGAUUCUUGACCUAUAUGAAUAUGGGCUAGUCGAAGUUGUUCUUGGCCUUUUAAAAUUUCUUCUUGUAGGCGAAGACUUAAAUCAGGUAGCUUUUGCAAAGAGCACGGCAAAUGUGAUGGGUAUAGUUCUUCCAAUUGAGCAAGUAACAAAUGUGCUGGGUAUAGUUCUUCCAAUUGAACAAGUAAACAGACCUCCAACUACAUACUCCAAUCUGAUGGGCAGCUGGUGACCAGGUAUCCUCUUGGUCCUGGUAUAGAUGUGGGACUUACUGAUGCAUCACCAAGUACUUCAUUGACCAAUGUGGCUAACAGUGUAGAAAUUGAUCAGCAUUCUGUUUUCUGUCCAGCUGACAUUCUGUUGAUGACAACACAAAGUAUCUGUUCAUGAGGUAGAAACACUUGUCCACGCCGGUGGAGAAUCUUGGAACUGGAAGUGCCCUACUGUUAGCUUGCCGAACCACUGAGAGGAGAAGGCUGCAACAUUUGCACCUGGAAAAUCCCCUUCCACACUGAGUGUGAGUAUGGAAAAAUGCUCAUGAACAGGCGGGUGCAAAAGUAUCAUCAGAAUCUUUUCCAACAUGAAUCGGCUGCUGCAGUAGAACGAACUUAAUGGUGAAGGCAGUUGCAGAAGGAAAAUGCCUCUUAGCUACACUGUAGGAAGCUUAUAGAAAGCUUCAUUUGUUGAUUUGGAGAUCUCUCAUUGCCGCACUUGAGCAUUUGUGUGGACACAUGCAGCUUCUGAGUUGUUUCCUGAGUUGGACUAGGUUUGAAUGCUUCGCCUCCCUUCCUAAACCCUGCAAAACACAUGCAUACCGAAGGAACAAAUGGGAUAUGAAUGGUCAGAGCUUAGUGAGUUCAAACCCAGGUCCUGACUUUCAGCUGCUACCAAUCCCUCAAUAACAGCCUAUGUCCUGUGUGUCCUUGAUGUCUUGGUUUUUGGUCAGUUUUUCUUUUUAAUGUAAAUGUACAAUGAUUAUGGAUGCUAUUACACAAAUACGCUCCAAGUUUGUUGCUGUCUAGUUGGUUAACCAGAAGAGGCGGAUGGAUUUUGUAGUCUACUUUGUUGCAUUAUUUUUAGAAUAAAAUCCAUAUUUGUUUUUGCAUUGUA